rnacentral:rRNA from 1 species
UCCAGACUCCUACGGGAGGCAGCAGUGGGGAAUAUUGCACAAUGGGCGCAAGCCUGAUGCAGCCAUGCCGCGUGUAUGAAGAAGGCCUUCGGGUUGUAAAGUACUUUCAGCGAGGAGGAAGGUGUUGUGGUUAAUAACCGCAGCAAUUGACGUUACUCGCAGAAGAAGCACCGGCUAACUCCGUGCCAGCAGCCGCGGUAAUACGGAGGGUGCAAGCGUUAAUCGGAAUUACUGGGCGUAAAGCGCACGCAGGCGGUCUGUCAAGUC